rnacentral:lncRNA from 1 species
GCAGUGGUAGCCGAAGAAGCUCUCUGGGCAGACGCACAGCUGGACGGGCAGCCGAGGCAGGACCUUGGUGGCCUCAUCCUCUGCUGUCUCCCAGCGCCUGCCACUCAGCAGAGGCCGUCUGCAACCCACAACUAUUGCUGGGGUAAAAUAGAAAAUUUUCUUGAAAAAUGCAACUUACCAAAACUGGCUUAAGAAGAAACAAUGGAGGGAAGAAUGUUAGCAUGACAGAAUAAUGACUUUCUGGAAGAGGAAGGACAAAGGCCACCAUAGCUCAUAUUAGGAGAAAUGAGAAGUCUUCCAGGAUCCCAGUGGAGAAUGUUCUCCACAAGUGGUAAGUGUUUGCAGUGGUGUGGGGUGGGGAGAGUGAGGUUCCUCUAUAUCCUACCUGUUGAUGAAGCUGAGUAGUGAGAGGUAGGCUGGAAACAAGGCCAACUGAUUUGGGUGUUGUCAUGACAAGGGUGCCAAGGUUAUUCAGUGGGGGAAAGAACAGUAUCUUCAACAAAUGGUGCUGGUAAGACUGGAUAUACUUAUGAAAAGUAUAAAGCUAGACCCCUACCUCACACCAUAUACAAAAAUUAACUCAAGAUGGAUCAAAGACCUAAUGUAAGAGCUAAAAUUAUAAAACUCUUAGAAUAAAACAGAGGUGUAAAUCUUUGUGACCUUGGAUUAUCCCAUGGUUUCUUGGAUAUGACACCAAAAGCAUAGGCAACAAAAGAAAACAUAGAUGAACUGAAUAUUAUCAGAAUUCAAAACAUUUGUGCUUCAAAGGACACCUUUAGGAAAUGAAAAGACAACCCACAGGAUGGGAGAAUGUACCUGCAAAUCAUAAUCAGAUAAGGGAUAUAUAUCUAGAAGAUAUAAAGUACUAUUACAACUCAAUAAUAAAAGCUUCAAUAGGCAUUACUCUAGAGCAGAUUUAGAAGGAGCCAAUAACAUACAAAAAGAUGCUUGACAGCAUUAACCAUUAGGGAGAUGCAGAUUGAAAACACAAGAUACCACUUUUCACCUGGCAGGAUGGCUGUAAUGAAAAAAGUAGAUAAUAACCCGUGUUGAUGAGAAAUUGGAACCCUCAUACAUUGCUAGUGGAAUAUAAAAUGGUACAGCUGCUUUGGAAAUAGUCUGGCAUUUCCUCAAAUAAUUAAACAAAGAAUUAAUAUACACACCAGCAAUUCCACUUAUACUACCAUAUAUACUCAAGAAAAUGGAAACAUGUCCACACAAAAAUGUUUAUGUAAAUAUUCAAAGCAGCUUUAUUCAUAAUAGCCAAAAAAGUAGAACCAAUCCCAGUGUCUAUCAACUCAUGAAUGGAUACAUAAAAACAAAUAAAAUAUUAUUUGGCAAUAAAAAGAAAUGAAGUUCUGAUCCAUGCUACAACAUGAAUAAACUUUGAAAACACUAUGUUAAAUGAAAGAAGCCAGUCCCAAAAGACUAUGACUCUAUUUGUAUGAAAUGUCCAGAACAGACAAAUCCAGGGGAGACAGAACAUAGAUUGUGACUGUCUGGAGCUGCAGUGGAUGGGGGGCUGGGGUGUGAGGGCUAAAGGGCAUGGAGUUUCUAUUCAGGGUAAGGAAAAAUGUUCCACAAUGGAUUGUGGUGAUGGAUAUACAACGCUGUAAAUAUAUGAAAAGCUACUAAUUCGUAUACUUUAAAAGAGUGAACUGCAUGGUGUGUGAAUAAACAGGGAGGGAAGGACAAAGGAAGGGAGGGGCCUCUGAGCCUGGACCCUCUCUGGAUGUGGGAAGCGCAGUGGUGGGGAAGAGCAAUGGGCACUGACAAGGAGCUAACAGCUGGAGGGGGCAAGUGGCCCAGCAGUUCUGCGACACUCUCUACUCUUGUGGUCCCGGACAGCUGUGCUGAGCCCCCAAUUCCUAUGCAUACUAAACCCCUCAGAGGUGUUCCCAUAGGGAAGAAGGCACUAGAAUUAAAGCGAGGGGGUUGCAGUGGGGAUGCUUAAGUGAGCUUGAGGAUGGAACCUGGGUGUGUGCAGCUGUCACAUCUGAAGGUGGAAUUGCUGUUGACGUGGUGUUUCCUGCCUGCAUGUUCCCGUCCUGUGGUGUCAGGGGACUUUCAGGGACUGUGGCAUGCAGAGGUAAGAGGGGGCCCGUAGAUGGCCUCUUCCUGCUUCUUUGUCCCUUCUGCAGAAACAGUGUGGAGUCCAAGAGAAGGGAAGCCUGCUGGAGUCGAGAGGCCAUUUCCCAGUCCAGCAGCAGCCCCUACCCAGGGCAGUACUCCACUGCACCCCCUUUAAGGUGGGGUGGCUACUGGCCUGCAGCGAGCACUUGUAGAAGUAGAGUGUGACCCUUGAGGGCUCUGUGACUCACUGACCUGACACCCCCAUUUUGGGGGUUUUAAACUUGAUCACAUAAGGGCAGCGCCCAACAGGUCCUGGUGGCCUAAAGGAAAUGGUAUGUUCAAGAGUACCAAAGCCAAGAGCCAUCUUGGAUUUACAAGAAAAAUGGCAGCUACCCCUUGGGGAAGCUCACCUUCCGGUCCAGUGCCUGACGUGAGCCACUGGCUCUGCGGGGUGCUCGAGUCACGGGGCCCCCGAUGCCUGGGCCUGGUUCAAGGAUGGUCCGGCUAAGCUGGAGCCCAAUGGCGUCCCCUGGGCAGUGGCUGUCCAGCCCCAGCGCCAACUCUGGGAGACAGCAGAAGACCAGUGAGUAUUGGGGCUGGGCUGGAAGCUGCCACCCUGGCCUUAGGACUCUUAAGGACCAGAAACAUUGAAGUUUUACUGAAUUUUGGUUGUUGCAAAUGGUGUGGUCUGCCCAAGGGCCAGCAGACUUUCUGGGAAGGGCCAGAUCGCAAAUAUUUCUGGCCCUGUGGACCACACGUGGUCUCUGUUGCAUAUUCUUUUUUGUUCUUUUUGUUUUUGCAGCCCUUUAAAAGUAUUAAGAACAUUCUUAGUUCACAGGUCAUACACAAACAGGCCUUGGGUCAGAUGUGGCCAUCCAUCCUCUGUGGACCCCAGCCUGGUUUCAGAAACAGGGUUUGUGGGAGCACGGCUGAGCACACUCACGUACUUACUGUCUACGGCUGCUUUUUCGUGACAACAGCAGAGACCCUGUGGCCUGAAAAGCUGAAAAUAGUCACUACCUGGCCCUCUACAGAAAAAGCCUGCUGCCCCAGUCUGCGGUCUGGUCUGCCACUUGGAAGACCACAGCCUGAGACACUAACACCCUCAUAUUUGGGGCCCGCUGGUGUUGCAAACAAAUCCUGGUCACUGAUUUGACAGCCUGGGCCGCUCGUGCAGGUGCCCACGGUAAGGGUGCUCUCCGAUCGGACCGCGCUGCCUCUUGGAUCCCUCUUGGGCCGGAAGUGGCCAUGCAGCCAUCAUUGUGGACGAGGCGAUGACAGGGACCCUGUGCCGCCUGUGUGAGCUGGCGUGCAUGAGUUGGCAAAAACAACUUCCACAUACCAGGCUAAAGUCUCCUGACAGAAGCUGGCCUCCCUGCCUCACUGUGGGGCACGCCUGCCCCUGCCCCCAGGACCACCAGUGGGGUCUCCGCUCUCCAGGUUAUUGUGUUGCUGUUCCAGUCCAAUUAGCCUGCCCUGGCUAUACCGCUGAGCGCUUUUGACUUUCUGGACGAUUUGCAUCUGACAGUGAUGCUCCCUUUGUCUCAGGUCACUCAGCCAUGGGUCACUAAUCACGUAUUGAUGGAUAUUCCAGGAUCCCUCCCAUCCACAGGCUCCUGGCAUUUUCAAGCUCUAGAUCAGCCUCCUCAAGAAUCAACUCCGAAAGACUCCAGCCUCUGCCUCCCUGCCUGCUCCUGGUCCACACACCAUGGGCAUGUGCUCCUGGUCCACACACCAUGGGCAUGUGCUCCUGGUCCACACACCAUGGGCAUGUGCUCCUGGUCCACACACCAUGGGCAUGUGCUCCUGGUCCACACACCAUGGGCAUGUGCUCCUGGUCCUGAACAUGGUCAUCCCAUCCUCCAAAAGGGUUCUUCUCCGCUUGGCCACCCUUUGGGUAAUGACAGGACAAAAUGUGGGGCCUCUGCGGGGUGACACAGACCUACCUGGAAGCCUUGAGGUUUGGCCCUGACCGUUUCUGGGCCUGAUAAGGCUCUUUCCCUGACAGCUGCCCCAGCCCGCCUGGUUGGUUUGCUCUCCAGGUGGCAGCCAGGCCAAAAAGGGGCCUCAGGAAUUCACUCAGCUCUGGUUCGGCCACCUGGGUUCUCCUGUGGGGCUGACACAGUCCUGAGUCAUGAACAUGUGGGUGGCUUGGUUGACGGCACUGCUAGCUGGGUUCAUCUGCGGUGGUCUGUGGGUGCCAGCCUGGGAGCAGGGCGUCUCUGUGGCUCUCACACGGGUGCUCCUGCUGGCCUUGUGCCUGCACCGCCCUGUGACAGGUCUGGGUGUGAGUUGGGGACAAACUGGGGAAAGGUGAGUGAAAGUUCCUGGGAUGUGCAUUCUGGCUUCCUGGCUGAAGAGAGAGAACGCCAGUCCCGGCUCCUGACCAGGGACCACCUUAGACCCCGGGACGUGCAGGGGGCUGAGUGAACAACGAAUGUUCUUUGCCCCUUAAAUCCAGCACCUGGCAAGGUGCCUCAUGGCCUGCCUGAGUCAGGCUACUGCUGAGCUGGCAACCUGACCUGCGCUGGGUUCCCCAUCUCUGUCCUGUGGAUCCAGGUGGUAUCUGCACCCAAACGUGCCCCCAUGUAAGUGCAUGUGUGGGCACAACCUUGCUUCCAUCUUGCUGACUUGAAUUCAUAGCUUCCCCGUCAUCUGAGCGCCUGUGGGUUACGUCGUGUAUGGUGACCAAAGCUGCAAAUGCGCGGUGACAUGGCAAAAAGACUUAACCAAAUCAGCACAGCAGGGACCACGGCAAGGCGAAUGGCGGUUCUCAGACAGAGCUACUCGGGUUGCGUGUUACCUGGGAGGGAGUGAGCCUUGGAAUGCCUCUCCAGUCGGGAAAGGGAUCAAGGUACCCACCACCUUGGUUUGCCUGGAACUGAGGGGGUCCCCGGGACAUGAGACUUUCAAUUCCGGAUAAACCAGGACGAGUUGGUCAUCGUAGCGGGAGCUGCUUUUUUGGCUCAUUCAUUGCCUCUGUAAUUAUUGACGGUGGCGUCAACAGGGCAGUCAAACUCCUUGCAUGGGCCACAGGGAUAACAGCCAGGCCUUAGGCUGCAUCCUGGCUCUCUCAAAUUAGACCUACGGGGCUCUGCAGGAUUCUUCACAGCUGGCUGUGCCUGGGCCCCUGAGGGUCAUGGUUGAGGUCCCGCUGUGGGAUUCCUGUGGACGGCAGCCUUCACCCACUUGCCGUGGGAGGAGAUCAGAAGGAUUUGGUUCUGGCUGCUGGCAUGGCGUAUACUGGUAUGAACAUUUGAGUUUGGCCAAGAAUGUGUGGGGCUGAGGAGGUAGCUUGGUAAGAGAGGCACUCUGCUGUGCCUCUGCACUUUUUUGCCAACUACAAGAGAAUACAAGGCCCUGUCCACUCUUUGCCUGGGUCAUUUCUUAGGGUUGUGUUUGCAGAGAUCCACCUUGAGGGAUGAACCGUCGCCUUGGGGGCAAAAAGCAGGCUUGCUAUGGAACAGCUGCACUCCCCAGGCUCCAUGUUUCUUGGCUGUGAUGUAAACCCACUGUGUACGGCGUCUCCUUGGUCCCCUCCACGCCAUGCUGGCAGGACUUAGACAGCAACAGAACCCAACACAAACCACUCUUGCUACUUGCUGUGCCAUGAGGCUCUAACAUGAGAGUCUCAUGCUUUCUGCCGGCACCCAUCAACCAGUAACAGGGCAACUUGUUAGUUUGUAAGAAGGGUACAAUCCUGACAUUUUAUAUAAAAUGAAAAAUGUUCUAGAAAAAUGCAACUUGGCUGGGUGUGGUGGCUCACGCCUGGAAUCCCAGCACUUUGGGAGGCCAAGGUGGGUGGAUCACCUGAGGUCGGGAGUUCGAGACCAGCCUGACCAACAUGGAGAAACCCCGUCUCUACUAAAAAUACAAAUUAGCCAGGCAUGGAGGUGCAUGCCUGUAAUCCCAGCUACUCGGGAGGCUGAGGCAGGAGAAUUGCUUGAACCCGGGAGGCAGAGGUUGCAGUGAGCCGAGAUUGUGCCAUUGAACUCCAGCCUGGGCGACAAGAGCAAAACCUCCGUCUCAAAAAAAAAAAAAAAAAAGAAAGAAAGAAAAAUGCAACUUAUCAAAUGUAAGUGGAAAUAGAAAAUGCAACUUUUUAUAUAAUCAUUAAAUUGAAUGAAUAUUCAAAAUUUUCCCAGCAAGAAACUCUAGGUCCAUAUAGCAUCACCAGUGAGUUACACCAAACAUUCAAGAAAUAAUUCCAGAGACACAUAGACUCUUCUAGAUAGAAAAAUCCAUUUUAUGAGGCUACCAUAACCUGGAUACUAAAAUUUAACAAAGACAGUACAUGAAUGGACAACUCCAGGCCAAUUUCACAUUAAGUUGCUAAAACCUUAAAUGAAUUAUUAGCAAACUGAUUCAGCAAUAUACAAAGAGGAUAAAUAAUCCACCAUGGGCCGGGCGUGGUGGCUCACGCCUGUAAUCCCAGCACUUUGGGAGGCCGAGGCAGGAGGAUCAUGAGGUCAGAUCGAGACCAUCCUGGCUAACAUGGUGAAACCCCAUCUCUACUAAAAAAAUACAAAAAGAAUUAGCCGGGCAAGGUGGUGGGUGCCUGUGGUCCCAGCUACUCGGGAGGCUAAGGCAGGAGAAUAGCGUGAACCCCGGGUGGUGGAGCUUGCAGUGAGCCAAGAUCGUGCCACUGCACUCCAGCCUGGGCGACAGAGCAAGACUCCAUCUCAAAAAAAAAAAAAAAAAAAAAAAAUCCACCAUGACAGAGUGGGCUUUUGUUAGGAACACAGCUAUGCUUUACAUCAGAAAACCAAUUAAUUUAAUUUGCCAUUAAAUUAACUUUAUUAAUUUAAUUUGCCAUUAAAUUAACUUUAUUAAUUUAAUUUGCCAUUAAUUUGAUUAAUUUAAAUGACCAAUUUAACAGAUUAAAGGAGAAAAUCAUAUUAUCAUCUGAAGAGGUAUAGAGAAGGCAUGGAAUAAAAGUCAACGUCCAUUUGUGAUUAAAAACGCUGGGAAUACAAGGAGAAGGCUGCCGGCAAUCUGAAGAAGGCUUCAGACACACAAGUGCACACAUCGUAUUCAAUGCUGAACCCGGAACACUUGCUUUUUGAGACUAGGAACAAGUCAAGGGUUCCACCAACACCACCGCUAUGAGACGAUUCACGGGAGGCCUUGGCCAGCACAGGCACCAACACCACCGCUAUGAGACGAUUCAUUGGAGGCCUCGGCCAGCACAGGCACCAACACCACCGCUAUGAGACGAUUCAUGGGAGGCCUCGGCCAGCACAGGCACCAACACCACCGCUAUGAGACGAUUCACGGGAGGCCUCAGCCAGCGCAGGAAGACACAAAAAUGUGUCACAAAGUAAAAUGAGUAGAAAGGAGCCCCACUGCUGCUGUGACUGAAUGUGGAUGUAGAAACCCCAUGGACUCUGCACAUAGAUGAUUUAUCAAGAUUCAUAUGGGAUUUUGUCAGGCAGUUGGAUAUAAAGUUAGAAAAUGUAAAAAAUCAAUUAUAGUUCUAUGUGCCAGCAAUAACCAGAAAAUGAGAUUAAAGACACUAUUUACGAUAGUGUGAAAAAAACCAAGUACCUAAGAGUAACUCUAACAAAAGAUGUGCAAAACUUCUCUGCACUCGAUUCUGAAACCUUACUGAAAAUGUUAAAGUCAACUAAGUAAAUCCAGAAAUAUGCCAGGUUCCUAGAUUGCACGACUCAAUAUGGUAAAGGUAUCAGUUUUCCUCACAUUGAUCUGUAUAGUCAAUGCAAUCCCAAUAAAUAUCACAACAGGUGUGUGUAUACGUGUGUGUAACUUGAUAAGCCAAUUCUACAUUUUAUGUGAAAAUGCAAAGUCCAAAAUAACCAAGACUGUCUUGUGAAAAGCAAGGUGGAAGGGCUUGUUCUAGGAGACACCAGCCUUUCUCGUCAGGCCACAGUUAGCCCAACGCUCCUGGCUCAGGGACAGAGAAGCAGGAGGGAGAGCCCGGGAACAGCCACAACGGCGCUGGGGGUGUGUGGGGAGAGGCGGCUUUUCAACAAGGGUGCUGGCUCUGCUUUCAUUUCCUCCAAAAUGGAACCUGCGUGACUCUACCUCGGGCCCCAAGAGAAGAUCACCUCCAGGUGUAUUAGAGACCUGCGUGUGAAGGACAAAAUGAAACAGCUGCAAGACUGUUGGAAAGCAAUAUGGAGAAUUUACUACAGUAAAAUUAACACCUUCUAUCCACCCAAGGAUGCCAUUAAAGAGGAUGAAACGAGUGCAGAAUGAGAAAAGAUAUUUGCAGCACCUAUGACCUGGUGUUACCAAGAACCCCCACGAAUCGGCGAGAAAGAAGAUAACUCUGUAGAAAAGAGGGAAAACACUUGAACAGUCACUCCACAAAAGAUGAAAUCCAAUGGUAAGUGAACAUAUGAGACUGGCUCAGCCUCAUUCAUAGAAAAGAAAAGGAGACCAUGGUGACCUCCCACCAUGUAGCUGCUCCAUUUGCAGAAGCGUCGGCCGGGGUGUGGCCCUGGGCAGCAUCCACACACAGCACAUCCCACGGCUCAGAAAUCCCACUCCUGGGUGUGGACUUGACACAAAUGUGGACUUGUGUGCACUGGGACAUGCCUUCAAGAGUUUUCACAAACAGCAUUGUUAAGAGUAGUCUAGGCCUGGCAUGGUGGCUCACACCUUUGAGAGGCUGAGGUGGGCAGAUCACCUGAGGCCAGGAGUUCGAGACCAGCCUGGCCAACAUGGUGAAACCCUGUCUCUCCUAAAAAUACAAAACUUAGCCAGGCAUGGUGGCAUGCAGUUGUAAUCCUAGCUACUUGGGAGGCUGAGGCACAAGAAUCACUUGAACCUGGGAGGCAGAGGUUGCAGUGAACUGAGAUCGCACCACUGCGCUCCAGCCUGGACAAGACAGCGAGACUCCAUCUUAAAAAAAAAAAAGAAAAGAAAAAAGAGUAGUCUAAAGCUAGGAACAGCCCCACCUAAAAAAUUAAAAAUAGAACUGACAUAUGGCCUAGCAAUCCCACUUCUGAGUAUAUACCCAAUGAAAUGAAACCAGUAUCUCAUAGAAUAGCUGCACUCCCAUAAGCAAGAUAUAGACUCAACCUAAGUGUUUGCUGACGGAUGAAUGGAUAAACAAAAUGUGGUGUAUAUAUACAGACAUAUGUACACACAAGGGAAUAUUAUUCAGCCAUGACAAAGAGAGGGAUCCUGCCAUUUGCAACAACAUGGAUGAAACUGAAGGACAUUAUGCUCAGUGAAAUAAGCCAGGCGCAGAAAGACACUUAUAUGUGGAAUCUAAAAUAGCUGAACUCAGCCAGGUGUGGUGGUUCACGCCUAUAACCCCCAGCACUUUGGGAGGCUGAGGCAGGAGGAUCUCUUGAGGCCAGGAGUUCAAGACCAGCCUGGACAACAUAGCAAGACCCUGUCUCUACAAAAAAAGAAAAAUAAAAAAAUAUAGCUGGA